CAAGGAUUGGGUAUGGAGGACACCCACUGGGAUUUCCAGGGUCUUGUCAGAAACAAGAAUUAGACCUGAAGCAUAUGGAUAGUGAGAGAAACAAAGGAACUGGGCUGGAGAGGUAUGGCUACUUGAAAACCAAUACACCAGAGACAGUGCCUGGUUGGAAGGAAGUGAGAUGCUUUUUCAGGUACCAUGACCCUGGAGGUGGAAGAGUUAGCGCAUAUUCUAGGCUCCUUCGUGAGGAACUCAAGCAUGUGGAAGUAACUGACUUGCCUGGGCUUGCCUGAACUUGUCCAAUUCUUAUCUCUACUCUCCUGGACUGCCAAUUUGAAGCCUGUCAUGGAGUCAGCCCUGUCUCACAGCCUCAAGCAAGAGUACCAUCUACUCGCCCAGUGAUUGGCUCCUUUAUUCAUUAGGGGACUGGUUCACAAGAAGUCACCUGAGUACGUGACUCACUCCUUGUCUGCAACCCCUCCCUGGAGAGUGGAAUUAGCAUCAAAAUACAAACAGCACCAGGCCCUGCCACCACAGGAGGCUCUGUUGUCUCGUAAAGGCAGCAUCGGAACGCCACGGGGGCCAGAAGUUUGAUCUGGGCUGUGCAGCGUCUGAAACUGCUGAGCUGAAGAACUUCUAGGUAUGAGAAGGAAUGAUGGGGAUGUGAGGCCGGAAGCACCUAAGAAUGAUGAUGAUGCCCCACCCCCUGCUGCUGAGAUUCUAAAGGCCAGAUGUACCCUGAAGAAUUUCCCAGAAUCCUAUAGAUUCCUUGCUUGACACUUGCAUGAACUCUGUCCUGUUAAAAUGUCAGCAACUGGGGUUUCAUGGCCCGGAAAUGGGGGAGCCAUGCUCCUGCUGUGAGUGCGAGCCUCAAGCUUCUCACCACAGAUGGGAGCUCUCACUGGGAA
rnacentral:lncRNA from 1 species